GUGAGGAAUAUUGGUCAAUGGGCGGGAGCCUGAACCAGCCAAGUCGCGUGAAGGAAGAAGGAUCUAUGGUUCGUAAACUUCUUUUGCAGGGGAAUAAAGUGCAGGACGUGUCCUGUUUUGUAUGUACCCUGAGAAUAAGGAUCGGCUAACUCCGUGCCAGCAGCCGCGGUAAUACGGAGGAUCCGAGCGUUAUCCGGAUUUAUUGGGGUUAAAGGGUGCGUAGGUGGUUUGAUAAGUCAGCGGUGAAAGUUUGCAGCUUAACUGUAAAAAUGCCGUUGAAACUGUCGGACUUGAGUGUAAAUGAGGUAGGCGGAAUGCGUGGUGUAGCGGUGAAAUGCAUAGAUAUCACGCAGAACUCCGAUUGCGAAGGCAGCUUACUAAGCUACAACUGAUACUGAAGCACGAAAGCGUGGGGAUCAAACAGGAUUAGAAACCCGGGUAGUCC
rnacentral:rRNA from 1 species